ACCUGUAGUCCAUACCGUAAACGAUGAAUGCUAAGUGUGGAGGGUUUCCGCCUUCAGUGCUGCAGCUAACGCAUUAAGCAUUCCGCUGGGGAGUACGGCCGCAAGGCUGAAACUCAAAGGAAUUGACGGGGGCCCGCACAAGCGGUGGAGCAUGUGGUUUAAUUCGAGCUACGCGAAGAACCUUACCAGGUCUUGACAUACUAUGCAAAUCUAAGAGAUUAGACGUUCCCUUCGGGGACAUGGAUACAGGUGGUGCAUGGUUGUCGUCAGCUCGUGUCGUGAGAUGUUGGGUUAAGUCCCGCAACGAGCGCAACCCUUAUUAUCAGUUGCCAGCAUUAAGUUGGGCACUCUGGUGAGACUGCCGGUGACAAACCGGAGGAAGGUGGGGAUGACGUCAAAUCAUCAUGCCCCUUAUGACCUGGGCUACACACGUGCUACAAUGGAUGGUACAACAAGUUGCGAACUCGCGAGAGUAAGCUAAUCUCUUAAAGCCAUUCUCAGUUCGGAUUGUAGGCUGCAACUCGCCUACAUGAAGUCGGAAUCGCUAGUAAUCGCGGAUCAGCAUGCCGCGGUGAAUACGUUCCCGGGCCUUGUACACACCGCCCGUCACACCAUGAGAGUUUGUAACACCCAAAGUCGGUGGGGUAACCUUUAGGAACCAGCCGCCUAAGGUGGGACAGAUGAUUAGGGUGAAGUCGUAACAAGGUAACCA
rnacentral:rRNA from 1 species